rfam:Brachypodium distachyon strain Bd21 chromosome 1, whole genome shotgun sequence.
AAAAUACUCCCUCCGUUUCAUAAUUCUUGUCGAAAUAUUACAUGUAUCUAGACGUUUUUUAAAUAUAGAUACAAUUUAUUUUUGGACAAAUUUGAGACAAGAAUUAUGAAACGGAUGGAGUAAUAA